ensembl:lncRNA
CGUAUGAAUACAGGCACAGAUAUACAUUGAGUAGACUAUGUUAAUACACUGUCUUGUAUUUUUCUAGGAAAUGUAUUGGCACGUUAUACUUCUAUGCAAACACUAUCACUCAAGCUUUUCAUGAGUUGUUAUAUUGUACUUCUGACUGAAUGUCUGAUGUGGUUUUAAAGCAGUUACUUUGAGCAUAAUUAUUCUAAUUCCUAAUUAUUUCAGAUUCAGGUCUCCUUGCACAAUGAAGACGUCACAGCGGCAGUUGGGCAGGCUGUAUGGGAUGGCAAUCUCAGCUGGGGAAUGCAUAUUUUAAUAACAGGUUUACCGUGUACGGCCUGAGAACAAUCUCUGGACUCUAUUAUCCUCCUAAUAGGCUAUCCUGUGAGGAGUUGAGAGAGAGUACCUGACUGGAGCUGAGACUCGUGCCUGAUCAGUACAGGUUUCCUGCGGAAAUUGAAUUUGGAGGUAAUGGUCCAGGAACGUGUAAAUGAGGAGUUAGACAUUUCGGAGGUGUUUCCGUUCCCAAACUACUGGGAUGAUGAUAUCAUAAAAAAUCAUGUUGUGUAAGAUUGUGUUUGAAGAUUAAUGAGUUGAUGAUUUAUGUCUUAGGAAUAAAAUUGGUUAAAAGUUGCAUGUGACAACUACAUGAUCUUUCAUGAUAUAGGGCGGAUUGUUGUGGAAAUUUCUUAAUACAAUGUAUUUUUACUGAUUAAAGGACUAAGUCCCACUGUUUAGAUAGAUAGAUGAAUGUGGGGGAUCUGGCAUUUGCUUAGGGGGCAUCAUUGACUGGUGUCAGCUGAUGAAAGGGUUACUCUUUAUCUCCUUAUCUGUUUGAACUCACCAAGGCAUCUAUUGUCUGUCCAGAUACUGUAAGAACUCUUAAAGUUGAAGAAGGUAUUUAUGGCGGGAAGGAGAGCUGUCCUUGGUGUGAACCUUUGGGUAAACACUACAGUAAACAUUAUGGCAGGAAGGAUAAGGUGGGGGAAGAUAGCAUUUGACUUGUGUGAUAGAACAAAGGGAAUGUGUCCUGAUUGAUCUGGAAUGUCCAGGAUUUGUCACACCCCUCUCCUGUCUUUAAAUACUGUCGAUUGCCUUUUUUUAUUUAGAGACUAUCCACUGUUACUUUGUAACCUGUAUACUUUCUCCUUGCAAGCAAGAUUAAAACCGUU